rnacentral:rRNA from 1 species
UACGGAGGAUCCGAGCGUUAUCCGGAUUUAUUGGGCCUAAAGCAUCCGUAGCCGGUUCUACAAGUCUUCCGUUAAAUCCACCUGCUUAACAGAUGGGCUGCGGAAGAUACUAUAGAGCUAGGAGGCGGGAGAGGCAAGCGGUACUCGAUGGGUAGGGGUAAAAUCCGUUGAUCCAUUGAAGACCACCAGUGGCGAAGGCGGCUUGCCAGAACGCGCUCGACGGUGAGGGAUGAAAGCUGGGGGAGCAAACCGG